rnacentral:lncRNA from 1 species
GUGUCGCACAACCGUCGGCUGAUCGCACACGUGACACAGACACAGAAGUAUCUCUCUUGUUUGAGGCCAUGACGCGCCUUUUGGAGCGUGAAACCACGAGGCGCCACAUAGCAAAUAUCAUAGUGGUGUAAAUUGCAUUAGCUGUUACUAACCACAAUGUUAUGUCUUGAUCUAAGACCUAACAUCGAUGAAGCAUAAGUAUAUAGUCUACGUGGCUCAAUUCAUAUGCAAUCAUAGGUCAAGGUAAUGAUUACUACUCAUAUUUACUUAGUUUUCAACAGUAAGAGUGAACCCAAUUGAACAAAUCAAUGUGCAUCUUUUGUCACUAGAAUCAAUCAAGUCUACAAGACAACUACAACUGACACCGGAGUCCGGCCUCGUCCCGUUGUGAAUCCCCUGGUUCCAUCAGGCAUUCUGGGGCCAGGUGGUGGCUUUGAAGGUUCAAUUGGAUGAGCAGACGAAGUAGUUCCGUGGCCUGGAGAGAAAGAUGAUAUCAAUUUAGA